rnacentral:rRNA from 1 species
AUGAACGCUAGCGGGAGGCCUAACACAUGCAAGCCGAGCGAUAGAGAUUCUUCGGGAUCUUGAGAGCGGCGUACGGGUGCGGAACACGUGUGCAACCUGCCUUUAUCUGGGGGAUAGCCUUUCGAAAGGAAGAUUAAUACCCCAUAAUAUAAGAGACGGCAUCGUUUUUUAUUGAAAACUCCGGUGGAUAGAGAUGGGCACGCGCAAGAUUAGAUAGUUGGUGAGGUAACGGCUCCCCAAGUCUACGAUCUUUAGGGGGCCUGAGAGGGUGAUCCCCCACACUGGUACUGAGACACGGACCAGACUCCUACGGGAGGCAGCAGUGAGGAAUAUUGGACAAUGGGUGAGAGCCUGAUCCAGCCAUCCCGCGUGAAGGACGACGGCCCUAUGGGUUGUAAACUUCUUUUGUAUAGGGAUAAACCUACCCUCGUGAGGGUAGCUGAAGGUACUAUACGAAUAAGCACCGGCUAACUCCGUGCCAGCCGCCGCAGUAA